UACGGAGGAUGCGAGCGUUAUCCGGAUUUAUUGGGUUUAAAGGGUGCGCAGGCGGAAGAUCAAGUCAGCGGUAAAAUUGAGGGGCUCAACCUCUUCGAGCCGUUGAAACUGGUUUUCUUGAGUGAGCGAGAAGUAUGCGGAAUGCGUGGUGUAGCGGUGAAAUGCAUAGAUAUCACGCAGAACUCCGAUUGCGAAGGCAGCAUACCGGCGCUCAACUGACGCUCAUGCACGAAAGUGUGGGUAUCGAACAGG
rnacentral:rRNA from 1 species